CCUUAAGUACAGACUACAUUAUUUACACAAUUCAAAUAUUCUUUUUGCAAUCAGUACAAAUUGUAUGGUCUUUUAUUUCAGAUGAAUCCGUUCAACAAGCAAGAAAGCAUUCCAGGACGGAGCGUGUGUCUGGAAGCCCUGUCUAUGAGUCAACACCACACAGGAAACCAGCCGGUAGCCCAGAGCUCGAUGGGUCGAUUGUGACGUAAGCUCGGCCUGCCGCUUCAUCUUGGGACCCAGUUGAAGCAACUUUUCCUGACAACCCUUGGAGGUUCGACCGGAGGUACUGCUAUCUGUCGCAUGCUACGGCGAGUGGCAACCAAUGACGUUCUAAAACUGUAUAGCCUGCAGGGCAGAAAGGCAAAGAAGGCCUUCCAGGACCUGUCAAUCUGCAGGGUUAUAACAGGCAGGUGUUAUUUUAUUGUUCACAUCAGUAUUAUGCUUAGCUUGGCUGAUAAGAGGUUUUAAUUUGACUUGUAACUUUGCUUC